AUUGAGGGGCGGGCAGGAGGAGGAGCAGCCGGUGGCGGCGGCGGAGGAGGGAAGGGCGGUCCCGUGGCUCGGCGGCAUCUCCGGGGAGGAUGCCGGUCCAUUCCCGGGAGAAGAAGGAGAACAACCACGAUGAGAUGGAGGUGGAUUACGGGGAGAACGAGGGAAGCUCCUCGGAGGAGGAGGACACCGAGAGCUCGUCCGUGUCCGAGGAGGGGGACAGCUCAGAAAUGGAUGAUGAGGACUGUGAAAGAAGAAGAAUGGAAUGCUUAGAUGAAAUGUCCAAUCUUGAAAAACAAUUUACAGACCUCAAAGAUCAACUUUACAAAGAAAGAUUAAGCCAAGUGGAUGCAAAACUACAGGAGGUCAUAGCUGGAAAGGCACAAGAAUACUUGGAACCAUUGGCAGCUUUACAAGAAAACAUGCAAAUCCGAACAAAGGUGGCAGGUAUCUAUAGAGAGCUCUGUUUAGAGUCUGUAAAGAACAAAUAUGAAUGUGAAAUUCAAGCUUCUCGCCAGCACUGUGAGAGUGAGAAGCUCUUGUUGUAUGAUACUGUACAAAGUGAACUAGAAGAGAAGAUUAGAAGAUUAGAAGAAGACAGGCAUAGCAUUGACAUUACCUCAGAGUUAUGGAAUGAUGAACUACAGUCCAGGAAAAAAAGGAAGGAUCCAUUUAGUCCAGAUAAAAAGAAACCUGUUGUCAUAUCAGGUCCCUAUAUAGUUUAUAUGUUACAGGACCUCGAUAUACUUGAAGAUUGGACAACAAUAAGGAAGGCAAUGGCUACGCUUGGGCCACACAGAGUAAAGCCAGAACCACCUGUCAAAUUGGAAAAGCAUCUGCACAGUGCUAGGUCUGAAGAAGGAAGACUCUAUUAUGAUGGAGAGUGGUAUGGACGUGGACAGACAAUAUGUAUUGAUAAGAAAGAUGAGUGCCCUACAAGUGCCAUAAUUACAACAAUUAACCAUGAUGAAGUGUGGUUUAAGAGGCCUGAUGGAAGUAAAUCCAAACUGUAUAUUUCUCAGUUACAGAAAGGAAAAUAUUCAAUAAAACAUAACCACAAUUGACCAUUACUAAUCAGAUGUGUAACAAGUGGUGUUAACAUGCUUGAUGUGCCAUGAGUUAACCCAGUCAGGAGGAAUUCUCUUCUAACCAUCAAGAAGUCCUGUCAAAAGUAAAUGGGCCAUUGUGGGACAUCACUGUACAAAGACUUUAUUUGCCCCUUCACACCUACAAAGAGGCUACGUGCAAAAGGGCUCGUCUCAUCAGCUUGAAUUCUAGAAGAAGGAAAUAAAAGUAGCUGACUUUUUUUUCAUCUCUUUUGCUAUCUGGAGUCUUUCAGGUCCACAGCAGCUAUGAACCAGGAGGAAAGAUCUCCAGAAUCCACCUGUGUUAGCCCUGAAAGACAUUCAGAGCUGACAGAUUACUACAGCGCUGUCACCUUUUAAAACCAUAGACUAACUCAUUUCUGUAUAUGCUUGCCUGCUGUAAACCUUGUAAUUAAU